GAAAUCUGCUGCUGCUGAGGAGAGGAGCGUCAACAGCAGCACCAUGGUAGCUCAACAGAAGAACCUUGAAGGCUAUGUGGGAUUUGCAAAUCUCCCAAAUCAAGUAUACAGAAAAUCAGUGAAGAGAGGGUUUGAAUUCACACUUAUGGUUGUGGGUGAAUCUGGACUCGGGAAGUCAACAUUAAUCAACUCAUUAUUCCUCACAUAUUUGUAUUCUCCAGAGUAUCCAGGUCCAUCCCAUAGAAUAAAAAAGACUGUACAGGUGGAACAAUCCAAAGUUUUAAUCAAAGAAGGUGGUGUUCAGUUGCUGCUCACAACAGUUGAUACCCCAGGAUUUGGAGAUGCGGUGGAUAAUAGUAAUUGCUGGCAGCCUGUUAUUGACUACAUUGAUAGUAAAUUUGAGGACUACCUAAAUGCAGAAUCUCGAGUGAACAGACGUCAGAUGCCUGACAACAGGGUGCAGUGUUGCUUAUACUUCAUUGCUCCUUCAGGACAUGGACUUAAACCAUUGGAUAUUGAGUUUAUGAAGCGUUUGCAUGAAAAAGUGAAUAUCAUUCCACUUAUUGCCAAAGCAGACACACUCACUCCAGAGGAGUGCCAACAGUUUAAAAAACAGAUAAUGAAAGAAAUCCAAGAACAUAAAAUUAAAAUAUAUGAAUUUCCAGAGACAGAUGAUGAAGAAGAAAAUAAGCUUGUUAAAAAGAUAAAGGACCGUUUACCUCUCGCUGUGGUAGGUAGUAAUACUAUCAUUGAAGUUAAUGGCAAAAGGGUCAGAGGAAGGCAGUAUCCUUGGGGUGUUGCUGAAGUUGAAAAUGGUGAACAUUGUGAUUUUACAAUUCUAAGAAAUAUGUUGAUAAGAACACACAUGCAGGACUUGAAAGAUGUCACUAAUAAUGUACACUAUGAGAACUACCGAAGCAGAAAACUGGCAGCUGUGACUUAUAAUGGAGUUGAUAAUAACAAGAAUAAAGGGCAGCUUACCAAGAGCCCUCUUGCACAAAUGGAAGAAGAAAGAAGGGAGCAUGUAGCUAAGAUGAAGAAGAUGGAGAUGGAGAUGGAGCUGGUGUUUGAGAUGAAGGUCAAAGAAAAAGUUCAAAAACUGAAGGAUUCAGAAGCUGAGCUCCAAAGGCGCCAUGAGCAAAUGAAAAAGAAUUUGGAAGCACAGCACAAAGAAUUAGAGGAAAAACGUCGUCAGUUUGAAGAUGAGAAAGCAAACUGGGAAGCCCAACAACGUAUUUUAGAACAACAGAACUCUUCCAGAACCUUGGAAAAGAACAAGAAGAAAGGGAAGAUCUUUUAAACCCUCUAUUGACCACCAGUUACAUAUUAGUUGCCAAUAUGCCAGCUUGGACAUCAGUGUUUGUUGGAUCCGUUUGACCAAUUUGCACCAGUUUUAUCCUUAAUGAUGGAUUUAACAGCAUGACAAAAAUUAUUAUUAUUUUUUUGUUCUUGAUGGAGAAUAAGAUGCCUUGAAUUGUCUAGGGUGUUGUGUACUUAGAAACUAACAGCUCUAAGUACCUUUCCUACUUUUUUUUUUUUUAUUAAACAGAUGUCUUCAAUUUAAUGCAAGAAAACAUUUUACUGUUGUACAAUCAUGUUCUGGUGGUUUGAUUGUUUACAGGAUAUUCCAAAAUAAAAGGACUCUGGAAGGUUUUCAUUGAGGAUAAAUUGCCAUAAUAUGAUGCAAACUAUGCUUCUCUAUGAUAAUUAUAA